rnacentral:lncRNA from 1 species
UGUAUGUUUGAAGUAAGAAGUAAAGCAUAAAGUAUAUGAUUUUGUGUGUGUGUGUGUGUUUUUAUCUUGCUGUACCUGUAGGGAAUGUUUAAUUCAGCCUUGGAAGUGGCCAAAUUUGAAGGUGCUGUGAUUCGAACUGUCAGUGGGAUAAGGGGGCAGAUCAAGAAAGCACUCUGAGCUCCAGAAGGAGCUUUCCGGGCCAGCUUUGAGGAUAAGCUGCUGAUGAGCGAUAUUGUCUUCAUGCAAACUUGGUAUCCUGUUUCCAUCCCAGCCUUCUAUAACCCAGUAACAUCUUUGUUGAAACCAGUGGGUGAGAAAGACACCUGGUCAGGAACGCGGACCACGGGCCAACUCAGGCUUGCCCAUGGUGUCAGACUAAAGGCAAACAAGGACUCUCUGUAUAAGGUUCCCUCUCCCAGCCUGUGCUGACUCAGCCAUCUUCCCAUUCUGCAUCUUCUGGAGCAUCAGUCAGACUCACCUGCAUGCUGAGCAGUGGCUUCAGUGUUGGGGACUUCUGGAUAAGGUGGUACCAACAAAAGCCAGGGAACCCUCCCCGGUAUCUCCUGUACUACCACUCAGACUCCAAUAAGGGCCAAGGCUCUGGAGUUCCCAGCCGCUUCUCUGGAUCCAACGAUGCAUCAGCCAAUGCAGGGAUUCUGCGUAUCUCUGGGCUCCAGCCUGAGGAUGAGGCUGACUAUUACUGUGGUACAUGGCACAGCAACUCUAAGACUCACACAGUGCUCCAGACCCAUGAGGAAGACAUGCUGAAAACACUCAUUAGUGAUU